UUUUACCAACGACGUCGUUCGACUGGCCAUAUUUUCGGGCCCGAUACGAGCGAUGUUCGAAAUUCUUGCUCUCUGUAGCUGCGCAUGUGUGACAUGUCUUUGGUGUGCAGUCGCUGCUUUAACGUGUCCUAAAAUCGUUAGCGUUCGAUCCCACUGUGAAGAAUCUGAAAUUUGGUGAGUUUUUAAUGGGAUAAAAACAGAAAAUCUACUAUUUUCGUUAAUCCUGAAUUAUUUUCAACGGCCCACAGUCCGUUUUCCUCUACCUUGAUGAAAAACUGUGCGGCUGGAAUGGUCCCCCCGCACAUGUAUCCGCAAUAUUACGGCCCGCAUCCAUGGCUACCAAUUUACUUGCAGAAUCCAACCGAGGACUACAACUACCCUUUUUUAAUGUGUCCCGGACAAUGGCCACUACAUAAUUAUUCCCUGUCCUCCGUUUCAAGCUCGGAGACGAACACGCAACAAUCUUCCGAAGCUUUUACGAAAAAAAGGUGAGGAUUCUGAUAUCUCAGAGACAACGAAGCGAUAUUUUCGAGUCUUGUAUUUUACAAUUUUUCGAGGACGAGGAACAAGAAAAGUCACUACGUAAAAUCAGCAGCUGCGAAACGAGAUGCGGAAUCUCAAAGCGUCGGAGUUCUUACCCCUCCGAGGUCGAAUUCUGAACAAUUUUCGGUGUGCAGUGGCCGAAACUGUAAUUCACCCUGUCCCGUGCCGCCUCCAAGAUCACGACGAAAUCGGCGAGUGAUCGUUAAAUUUUUCACGCGCUAGGAUCAUCGGUUGCCAAGAAUAUUGAACGACUUUAUAAAUCGAACUUUCGCAGAUUGAAAUCGAUAUUGAAACCGAAAUCCAGAAAAAUCCAGGAGUGUCGAAUCGCCCCAUCCACCGUUAAGAUCGUCAAAGAAUCCGAUACCGAAACCAUGACGAACACGUCUUCGACGUGUAGCUCGUCUCAAAGUCAAACAGGACCUCGAACGGACAGAUUCAAAUGCCUGAGAAAAUUCUGCCGAUCAUCCCGAUCGAAGACAUCGCAAACGUGCGCUCCAAGUCUCGGAGUAAUAUCUCGACAUCGUAGAUCAACUUCGACUCAAAAACUGGAACCUGGACACCCCGUUGUCUCGACUAAUUAUCCCGCUUCCGAAAACGAUUCAGGCGAUCAAACCGACGCAGAGUUUUGUCGCGAUUUUACAUCCCACGUUCCCGAGCAGUUCUGCAAGACAAGAACGAGGGAUUCAAAAUCAAAGAUUUCUGGAAUUCGUCACUUCGGAAAAAGACGCAAUUGCUUCGCCCGACGAACUCCUGUGAUUCCAUGCAACUCGUACUACGGAAGAUGAUGAUUACACAGUUUUGAAAAAUUCUAUCGAAAAUAAAACUUUGAGAAUUGAGCAUACUACUAUAUCUGUUCACUUCCAACGGAGCUGACUCGGAUAAGAAUCUAGAGAUAAAAUAAAAAUUCCGAAUCGAUAUGUUUCUUAGUUGGGGAAAAAGUACUGUAGCAAAAGUAGAAUUUGAAAUUCUAUCGAGUAGUGAAAAAAAUCCUUUCAAAAAUAGAAAACUACUGUAUUAUGCACAGUACAUCCGACUAACGUCACGAACCAUCGACAACAAAAUUUGCGUAUGUAUCUAUAAUAUCUACUGCGUCUAAUUUGCAAGCGUUAUUAACUAUGCAGUUUGUUCAUUCAAUUUUUGUUCAAACCUGAACUCCUUUCAAGCAUAUUGAACGUCAUCGUAUGUCGUCAACGUCAACAAGGCAACAAGAUCUGAAUGCCUAUGAACCGAGUCUAGUCAAGCUCUUCCAUUCUGAAAACUAUGAAAAUGAAGUAGCUUUCAUCUAUUCGAGAGUUCAAGAAAAUUAAGAAUGAGUUGUGCACCGGAUUUUUACGUUUUCUUCCCCCAAUGAUUUUCCUUGAAGAUCAAUUUUUUUCAGUUAUACCGUCAGGUUACAGAAAAAUGAAACCGGAUCUUUAUUUGACUCAUUAUUCAUUAAGAGAGAAUAAAGACGCGGUGUAAUAUAAUCAUUCUUCAUUUAUCUUUAUUACUAGCUUAUAAACUUACAGGGAUUAAUUUUUCAUAAGAACGAUAAUUAUCAACAAUCCCUGCUCGCAUACGUGUAUAGAAACCUCAGUCGCAAUUCAAGGAGAUAAAUAUAUAAUAAACGCAUCUUUUAUUGCACAAAUUUACGUCCGAUCCGAUUCCUCGUCCUUAAAAAUAUCGAAUAUCUGGGUCACGAUCGUGAUUCACGUUAGUUGCUUUUUUUUGAAGGUAUUUAAUGUCCAUGCAAAUUCGUUUCUUUCACAAAAAAAGAACUCGUCGAAUCAUUUUCUUCCGAAGAGAGAAAAAAUAAAACUGAAAAAAAAAACAAACGCAAAAACGGAUUCCGCCUCGCCGUAAGCAAACGAAUUCAAUGUAAAAUGCUGAUAUUUGAUUCGAAUUGAACCUGAAUUUGAAUUAAAAUUACACGCCGUCUGAAAAUGCGGGUUCGAAGAUAAAACAAAAAAAUUUCAAAACUAUUCUCAACUCAAAACACUAUCUCGCGUGCAGACGAAAACAAGUUUUUGCGACGGAUGAAUUCACCUAUAUAGGAAACGGUCAUACGAAUAUUUAUGCAAAUUAAUUCAUCCUGAAGAAAAAAAAAAUCAUUCUUAUCUCUUUUUUGAUGCAGAAUUGUACAUCAAAUUUCUAUAUUCUUAUCGUUCUCGAAAAUUCUAUACGCAUGGCCCUACGAUUUUCUCGUCAAGUAAGGUCGAAAAUGAAAAUCAUUGCAGCGCAUGUUUAAUGCAAUUGUCAAAUUAUAAUUCUCGUGCUCUUUCUGUUAACAUUACAUGCUUUUUAAUUUAUGUAUAUUUUUAUUUUAGCAUGAUGGGAUGACGUCACGAUAUAUGCCGUAGUUUACAAUUGGUUAUUAAAUAAAUGGUUAAACAAAUUUUGUACUUGUAAAAAAUGCGAAUAAAAUGAAAACUAAAAAUGCAAUACAAAUAAUUUUUUUCGCAAACGCCAUAUUAUACGGACACU